GCGCUGUGCGGGAAAGUCUUGGGCUUUAUGGGGGUGAUCAACAUGUGCUCGGUCCAGGAGGUCUCCAACGACGGUCUCUCCAACCGUU